UCAUUUCUUAAUUUCUUUCCCCAGUGCCUAUGCUCUGAACCACCCACCCCUCGACGUCUCUCUCUCGCCAGCUCUUCUAUUCGUUCUCUCACUCUCCCUUUGCGCCGCCGCAGUCCUUAGCUAUCGCCAGUAGCAGUUUUGUCAUUCAGUUCUGAAUUUUAGGGGUUUAUAUAAGCGCAGGGUUGAUCUGGUUUUUAGGGGUUUAAAUGGCUGGAAGGUGUUUGAGAAAAGACUCAAGUGAGCCACAUGUACUGCAUUUUGGAAUGAUGGAAUGAUUAUAUAUAAUAAGAAUGACUAUAUAUAAAGUAGAUCUAUUCCUGGCCAUUCAGCUCUUCAUCAUCAUAGACAUCAUCUGCGAGAAUCGGGCAUGGAAGAAAGCAAGAAGACACAACAAUAAUGAGUUGAAUACUCACAGCAUUUAUGGAAGACGUGUUGUUGGAGUUAUCUGCAGAAGAGUCCCGAGCAGGGUGAAGAAAGAGUGCCUGAGCAGAACAAACUUACAUAUCAAAGCAUCCAUGCAUGCAGCUUUAAGAAGAAUGCUCCAUCAAAGAUAGCGAAUGAACUACUAAACCUUGUAUGAACUUGCACAAGUUGUUUGGAUUAUUACAUGUUUCUAAAAUGUUAUCUAUCUGCCUCAAA